AGUUGUGGCAUUCCUGACACCAUAACCACUACAAUGUGUUGUAGUGGUUGUGGUGCUUGGAGUGUUCCUUUA